rnacentral:rRNA from 1 species
UAGGGAAUCUUCCGCAAUGGGCGAAAGCCUGACGGAGCAACGCCGCGUGAGCGAAGAAGGCCUUCGGGUCGUAAAGCUCUGUUGUCAGGGAAGAACAAGUACCGGAGUAACUGCCGGUACCUUGACGGUACCUGACCAGAAAGCCCCGGCUAACUACGUGCCAGCAGCCGCGGUAAUACGUAGGGGGCGAGCGUUGUCCGGAAUCAUUGGGCGUAAAGCGCGCGCAGGCGGUCCCUUAAGUCUGAUGUGAAAUCUUGCGGCUCAACCGCAAGAGGUCAUUGGAAACUGGGGGACUUGAGUGCAGGAGAGGGAAGCGGAAUUCCAUGUGUAGCGGUGAAAUGCGUAGAGAUAUGGAGGAACACCAGUGGCGAAGGCGGCUUCCUGGCCUGUAACUGACGCUCAGGCGCGAAAGCGUGGGGAGCAAACA